rnacentral:lncRNA from 1 species
CAGCAAUCCACACAAGAGCUCUUUAUCCCCAACAUCACUGUGAAUAAUAGCGGAUCCUAUAUGUGCCAAGCCCAUAACUCAGCCACUGGCCUCAAUAGGACCACAGUCACGAUGAUCACAGUCUCUGGAAGUGCUCCUGUCCUCUCAGCUGUGGCCACCGUCGGCAUCACGAUUGGAGUGCUGGCCAGGGUGGCUCUGAUAUAGCAGCCCUGGUGUAUUUUCGAUAUUUCAGGAAGACUGGCAGAUUGGACCAGACCCUGAAUUCUUCUAGCUCCUCCAAUCCCAUUUUAUCCCAUGGAACCACUAAAAACAAGGUCUGCUCUGCUCCUGAAGCCCUAUAUGCUGGAGAUGGACAACUCAAUGAAAAUUUAAAGGGAAAACCCUCAGGCCUGAGGUGUGUGCCACUCAGAGACUUCACCUAACUAGAGACAGUCAAACUGCAAACCAUGGUGAGAAAUUGACGACUUCACACUAUGGACAGCUUUUCCCAAGAUGUCAAAACAAGACUCCUCAUCAUGAUAAGGCUCUUACCCCCUUUUAAUUUGUCCUUGCUUAUGCCUGCCUCUUUCGCUUGGCAGGAUGAUGCUGUCAUUAGUAUUUCACAAGAAGUAGCUUCAGAGGGUAACUUAACAGAGUGUCAGAUCUAUCUUGUCAAUCCCAACGUUUUACAUAAAAUAAGAGAUCCUUUAGUGCACCCAGUGACUGACAUUAGCAGCAUCUUUAACACAGCCGUGUGUUCAAAUGUACAGUGGUCCUUUUCAGAGUUGGACUUCUAGACUCACCUGUUCUCACUCCCUGUUUUAAUUCAACCCAGCCAUGCAAUGCCAAAUAAUAGAAUUGCUCCCUACCAGCUGAACAGGGAGGAGUCUGUGCAGUUUCUGACACUUGUUGUUGAACAUGGCUAAAUACAAUGGGUAUCGCUGAGACUAAGUUGUAGAAAUUAACAAAUGUGCUGCUUGGUUAAAAUGGCUACACUCAUCUGACUCAUUCUUUAUUCUAUUUUAGUUGGUUUGUAUCUUGCCUAAGGUGCGUAGUCCAACUCUUGGUAUUACCCUCCUAAUAGUCAUACUAGUAGUCAUACUCCCUGGUGUAGUGUAUUCUCUAAAAGCUUUAAAUGUCUGCAUGCAGCCAGCCAUCAAAUAGUGAAUGGUCUCUCUUUGGCUGGAAUUACAAAACUCAGAGAAAUGUGUCAUCAGGAGAACAUCAUAACCCAUGAAGGAUAAAAGCCCCAAAUGGUGGUAACUGAUAAUAGCACUAAUGCUUUAAGAUUUGGUCACACUCUCACCUAGGUGAGCGCAUUGAGCCAGUGGUGCUAAAUGCUACAUACUCCAACUGAAAUGUUAAGGAAGAAGAUAGAUCCAAUUAAAAAAAAUUAAAACCAAUU